rnacentral:lncRNA from 1 species
UAAAGUUAAAGGAUAUUGAUAACUUCUUAUCUUUCUUCUUAAAAAGUUCCUGUGUGAAGUCAGCCUCAUAAUAAUAUUGAAACAAGUCGACAAGAAGAGGGGCACAAUUGGUUCCCAUUAGAAUUACGACAGUCUGUCGGAAACACGUCCUCCAAACGUAACGAAUAUGUUGUCAAUCACGAAAUCAAGCAUUUCAAACCGCCAUCAUGAGUUGUUUGACAGAUAUUGAAUAUUUGUGGCACAGAUAUGUUUCUAUAGUCGUAAAUACAAUCCCGCCC